ensembl:misc_RNA Metazoa_SRP Metazoan signal recognition particle RNA
GCUGGGCGUGGUGGCUCAUGCUUGUAAUCCCAGCUACUUGGGAGGCUGAGGCAGGAGAAUCACUUGAACCCAGGAGGCAGAGGUUGCAGUGAGCUGAGAUGGUGCCACUGCAUUCCAGCCUGGGCGACAGAGUGAGACCCUGUCUCCC